rnacentral:tRNA from 1 species
GCCGGAGUGGCGGAAUGGCAGACGCGGGCGACUUAAAAUCGCUUGGGCGAUCCCCGUGCGGGUUCAAGUCCCGCCUCCGGCACCA